rnacentral:lncRNA from 1 species
CGGUGGUUCAGAUGCGGUGGUGCAAAGGAAAGGAGAUCGAGAAAGAAGCUGAGAAACAGUACCGGCCUUCUUCCUGGACAAAUCAGGGUUUUGUAUGUGUGUAUAAUCAGCGUUUUUUGUUUUAUUCCGGCCGCUCAGCUCAUUGAUCCCAGGGGCGCUAACCGCCGAGCCACAUCCCCAGCCCUCCUUAUUUAUAAGGCCUCUGGAUCCCUCAGCUGUGCCCCCGGGCCCCGCUGAUCAGUGUUUCUCUACAUCCACCUGCUUUAUGUCUUACGCUAGGCACAGCAAAAACGAGUAGGAGAAGAUUUCAAUGGGUGAAGAGAGGAAGAGUUAUUGAUUAAAAUGACACCGCAGUUUUCUGUUUUCUCCUUGCAUGCACGUGGGCACGUGGAGGAGGUUAUACCUUCUACAGCAGAGCCGAAGGAAAGUACUAAAGCCCAGUCCACCUAUCUCAGUACUUCCAGAAUUCAAGUCUUAGCUCCACCACAUUAUGUAGUUUUACCGUUUCCAGAGGCAAUGCUGCCAGUGAUUUCUUGGUAAGUUUUUCCAUAAAAAUAUCUUCAUUCACCCAUGGCUCCUUGUUUGUGCCGCAUUAUGUCUCCAUAUAUUUCUGUUUCUCACUCUGCCAGUGUAGUAUGCCCUGAGGUUAAACUUCAGGUAGACUGUGAAUGGUGUCAUUGUAAGGGGUCCUUGGAACAAACUUUGUCACCUUGCACUCAGGACUUUUAUUUGAAUAAACAAACCAAAAAUAAGUCCUCACUUUAUUUAGGUCAUAAAAUAGACCCCUAAAGUAAUUAAAUCUCCCAGGACUUAGCUGUUAUCUUGGCUGAUUGCUGAGAGCCACAGCCGAGUCUGUAUGGCCCCUGGCAUUUUGCCAACAGUAUUGAUUGACAGGCGAGGCAUUACUAUCGGCCUCUGCCGCAACUUUUGAGUUCUCGCACUAUUUUGGAGUUCUCCUGGGGAUUUCCGGGGAUUCCCCGAGAGUUCCCAUUGGUUGGGGAAGUGCAGGAGGAGGGAUUUCCGGGAGAGAUAUUUCCGCUGGGGGUUCCUGGACAAGCCUCUUGGAGUUGGGGAGGAUUCCCCGGGAGCUGUGUGUAGUGUUUUCCUG